AGAGUUUGAUCCUGGCUCAGAACGAACGCUGGCGGCAGGCUUAACACAUGCAAGUCGAACGCUCGUAGCAAUACGGGAGUGGCGGACGGGUGAGUAACGCGUGGGAACGUGCCCUGAGGUACGGAAUAACUGAGGGAAACUUCAGCUAAUACCGUAUGAGCCCGAGAGGGGGAAAGAUUUAUCGCCUUGGGAGCGGCCCGCGUCGGAUUAGCUAGUUGUGGGGUAACGGCCUACCAAGGCUUCGAUCCGUAGCUGGUCUGAGAGGACGAUCAGCCACACUGGGACUGAGACACGGCCCAGACUCCUACGGGAGGCAGCAGUGGGGAAUCUUGCGCAAUGGGGCAACCCUGACGCAGCCAUGCCGCGUGAACGAUGAAGGCCUUAGGGUUGUAAAGUUCUUUUACCCGUGACGAUGAUGACGGUAACGGGGGAAUAAGCUCCGGCUAACUUCGUG
rnacentral:rRNA from 1 species